CAGCGGAAAAGCCCGCAAAUCAAUCAGGUGAUGGGAAGAAAGGUGGCGCGGAGAAGAAAAAGGCCGCAUCUGGAGAUGACUCUGGUAAGAGUCGCUACCUUGGUGACCUUGGGGCUGCUGUUGGAGUUGUAGAGGACAAGAAGUUGGGCCAGAUUGUGCUUGUUGCAUUUGUCGCCGAGUCAGGAAAUACAACGUUCGCCUCAUACGCGACGGGUGGCUCCC
rnacentral:ribozyme from 1 species